GCCCUCGUGGUGAAACGGAUAUCACAACAGUCUUCGGAACUGUUUUUGGGGGUUCGAAUCCCUCCGAGGGCA
rnacentral:tRNA from 1 species